CGGACUGGUGAGUAACGCGUGAGGAACCUGCCUUUCGGAGGGGGACAACAGUUGGAAACGACUGCUAAUACCGCAUGAUACAUUGAGACCGCAUGGUUUUAAUGUCAAAGAUUUAUCGCCGAAAGAUGGCCUCGCGUCUGAUUAGCUAGUUGGUGGGGUAACGGCUCACCAAGGCGACGAUCAGUAGCCGGACUGAGAGGUUGGCCGGCCACAUUGGGACUGAGAUACGGCCCAGACUCCUACGGAAGGCAGCAG
rnacentral:rRNA from 1 species